UUUAAGCAAGGGAUUUCAGAUGCCUCCUCGGCUUUCUUAAGGCAAAGCUUCAUGAGGUAGACUGAAUUGAUCUAAUGGCCUAGUGCUGCAAGGGUGGCAUCACCUCUGCUGGUCUCCCUGUCGCCUUCUCUGUCUGCUUCAGUGUCAGCUCUGGCAUUCAAUAACUCUUCGACAAGCCCAUACAGUCCAUAAAAACUGAGAAACUUGGGAAAAAAAGUAUUUGGUUUUGGCUGGCUAGUGACCUGAAAUAGCUCACCAGCUGCUCAGAAAAGCACCGGCUGAUGCAAAGGAUCAACUCACCAGUUCAUGGGACCAAGGGCUUACUAAUGAAACUAUCAAUUCCCUUUCUCAGGAAGAUGAGCUGUAAUUUUGCCUUACUGCCAUGCUAUGAAAGAACAAAUGCUGUAGGUUCUCAUUUACUUCUGCUGCAUGAUCAGCAAGGCAUAUGCGAUACCCCUAAAGCUUAUUGGGUAAUGGAUGUACUGCUUCCCAAGUUUAAAACAAGUUAUCUGUUACCAUUAGUUUGUUGUAGCAUAAAUCAGCAUUGGCAUCCAAACAUUGGCUCUUGUUUGUUGUGAAAUGUUGUGAAUUUUGGCCCUAAGGUGACAUUGGGAUGGGCCAACAUGACACCUUGCUGAUACUGAAAUGGCCUGGUCCUGAUCCUAUAAUUUAGCUGCAUAUACCUGCUGCUUGCCUUAUGCCAGUUUGGGACCAUGUCAAUCUCCAUGAACCAAUUCCAUUUGCUAACUAACACAACAGAAAACCAGGAGGCAAAGAGCCAAAAAAGCAGACAGUUUCUGGCUGGAUUAGUGAUCCAGUAAGAUCUCCUGUAUGAGGGUAGACUGGAGAGUGAAAAGCCUGACUGUAAGAAGAAAAAGUCAUUUUAAUUUCAUUUAUCUGAUACAUAUUAGGGCAGGAGGUGAUAUUUGACAGUCUCUAGUUAUAAUUUAUGCUAUUAUCUAAUCAGUGAAUUAUCACUUCAGUUGUGGAUUGAAUAUAAAAUUAUCUGAAAUACCUAAUCAGGAAACAAAAAUUUAGACAAAUACUGUACUGUAACUGCAUUUAAAUGUUGCUGCUUACUUUGCCUUCAGGAUUUACUGAAUAAUACCUUUUCUAAAUACAUAUUGAAAACAUUCCAUACCAAACCAGUAAUUUCAGUAUUGACUUGGACCUAGGUUAGCUUUCAUAAUAAUUCAGUAUACUGCGUGCAGCAGUGAAAUCUUAACAGCAAGGGUGCUAACCAGUAACCAUUUUUCUUGUUAUCAGCUUUUGUGAAAAACUAUUGUAAGAUCUGGUUCAAGAAUUUAACCAGCCUAGUGAAGAGCUGUCAAACAGGAGGAUAUAUUCAGAUGUCUCAGAAAGAGCCCUGGAAUCACAAGAAAGUCUGAGAGUAGAGAGCACACUGGAACUGAGGGCUGUAUCCCGGCUACAGUGUACUCUGUCUGCCCCAGGAGACAUUUCUUUGACCUCCUCUCCAGGAUACUAUCAGGUCCCAGCCUCAACUCAGGGAUUACGAGGUGUCCUAACUAGGUAAGAUCUCAGGAACUAGGUCACAGAGUGCAUGUCAGGAUGAGCCCAGACCACACCAGUUGGCUGGGUUGGCAGAGGACAGCAAGUCUAAAUAUGGGCUUUGCCAGAUGGUUUGGGAGUUGGAGUAGGAGAACAGCAAAGUGUCUUGUGGACCAAGGUCAGGGUCAAACAUGGAAAAGGUCAGCCAGAGAGGUUGUGAAAUCUCCAUCCUUGAAGAUACUCAUAACAUGAGCUGAUGUGGUGCUACUUCAGCUGCGGUUCUUUGGAGCAGGAGAUUGGACUACAGACCUGGAGGUCCCUUCCAACCUACACCAUCCUACGGUGUCCUGAAUAACCGAGCCUGGUCAGCAUGUUUUGUUGGAAGCUAAUUUUCUAAUUAUUUUUAAAGGAUUACAGGUCCAGUUGAGGGCAGAACAGUGGCUUAUACCUAAAGAAUGGUGAAGAUGCCAGGGACUGCAGUAGCUUCAAAUGACAUGGAGGUCAGUCAUUAAAAGUAAUUUUCUCGAUACAAGACUUGAGACCAAUAUUGUAGCAGAAAAGGUUUUGAAGAAACCAAUUUGGAAACAGCACUGCAUUAAGUAAUCUGGUAGCAGUUCACUCAGUAAACAGCAUUAGUAAGACUACUACAAGGACUGCCAUACAUCAAAAGAUGGUCAGUGUUCAAAGUGAAAGCAAAACCAAGCUGGGAAUAGAAAACAAACCUAAGAUAUGAGGCUUAGGGAGCUAAUAUAGUGUAUAAAAGAAAGGGCUGAGAUAACACAUUACGCAUGUGAAAGCUGUUCUGUAUGGCACAGGAACUGAGGAGAAGCCUACGGAUUUGCUGCCCAGAGCCUAAGUAGUGACAACUGAAGCAGGUUGAGUUCAAUGGCACAAUACUUUCCGCAGUGAGUGGCUAAACUUUGGAUCCCCAUGAAAAGGGGAGAUCAUGGAUAUAUCACAUUAAGAACUGUAAAAGGGGCUAGACAUUAUUUAAAAAAAGAAAAAAAAAAGGGGGAGGCUUUAAUCUGCCCUGAGACAAAUUUGAAAGACUGAGAGACUGAGUACAGGUGAAGAAGACGGUGACAGCAGGUUAAACAGGACAAUGCCUGCCUGACACCGAUGGCAUUCAAUCUCCCUCCGCUCUCCUCCCCGCAUGCUACAACUUGGUCUCCUGAAGACUUUAAUUCUGAAGCACUGUCUCCUGAAGCACUCCAAUUUUAACUGUUUUAAUACAACCUGUUGUUUAAAUAGUUUACGGAUGAAACUAGAGGGCAUGAGCUAUAUACAAGACCCAAAUGGCAGGAAGAAGGAAGAUACAAAUACAGACAUUUCUAUUGCAAAAGCAAUUCCUAACAAACAUCCUUUUGCCAGUAUGAAAUCUAUAUUAGCUUCAAAUUGGUUACACUUGCUGGCAAGUGACAGAUUGUGGUAAUGGAAAUUGUUAUACUGUACAUUUGAUGGGCCUUUUUAGUUUGAAAUAUUUUAAGCUCUAAUUGAUGAACAUGUUUCAGUUGUAGACAUACUCCAAGACUGCUCUUUUAUUACUUCACAAGUAUUAGCUCUUCCACUCACUGAUCCAUACAGUAACUUUACAUCAUAAGAAGGCCAAGCACAGUUGAACCAAUUUUAAUUAUCUUUAUUUCCAUGAAUCACAGUUACACUUCAAGUGGUUAGUGCCUUUGUUUCACAUUUCUCACCCCAAGUACACACCUACAGUAGCUACCACAAAAUGUGCACUUAUUAUCAUUCUAACAGACAUUUGUCGCUACUGCCUUUUUUUUUCCCCAAUC